rnacentral:lncRNA from 1 species
CCCAUAAUACCAACCUAUCUCUACAGGAGAAGCUGUCCGUGGCUCCGGUAGUGAAGAAAGCCUCCUACAUCAGACAUCAACAAGAAUCCGGGUGACCAAUCCGGAUCCGGAUCGUCACCUGACGACAGAGACCUUCAGUCAGACACUGGGUCCUGACGACAGAGAGGCCUUCAGUCAGACACUGGGUCCUGACGAGACAGAGAGGCCUUCAGUCAGACACUGGGUCCUGAGACAGAGAGGCCUCAGUCAGACACUGGGGAUGAACAUUAAAGUAGUGGAGGAGAGCUGGAGGACUUGAGUCAAACGUUUGGGAUGACGGUUAAAGAAGAAGAGGAUGAGGAAGUCAGCCAGAUUCAUUCAGGUCCCCAGUAGAAGAAGUGGACUGGGAGGCUGUUGAACUUGGUAAGUAGAGGGAGGGAGUCUGUUGAACUUAAAGAAACAUGAAGUAAUCAGGACUUACUAUCUCGGUGUCCCAAAUGGCAUCCUACCCCCUACUUAGACCAGAGUUCAAUAGGGAAUAGGGUGCCAUCCU